UAAUGAGUUAAGGGUAUGUUUGGUUCCACGUAAAACUGUGGAAAAAAAAAAUUUCAAUAAAAAAUAAUUUUUGGUGGAAAAUUUUUUUUACGUCGUUUAGUGUUUGGUUAGAAGGAAAAAAAAAGAAGUUUUUUAUUAUGAUUAUUUCGUUAAAAGAAAAAAAAAUAAAAACUUAUUCAAUAUAUUUUUUUAUUUUUCACAAUCUUUUAUUUUUAUGUCACGUUAAAUUAUACAAAUUAUUUAAAUUAUGAAAGAACGAUAUUUUUAAUAUUUAUAUUCAACUGUUUCAAUACUAAAAGACGGGUAUAAUAUCAGUUGGUGCAGUAAACAGGCAAACCAAACCAGGACAACGAUCCUCAAGUUGAGAUUGUUUCAUUCACAGUUUCAACAAUUUUGAGGUUCAUGCUAUUUACUUAAUA
rnacentral:lncRNA from 1 species